rnacentral:rRNA from 1 species
UACGGGGGGGGGCAAGCGUUGUUCGGAAUUACUGGGCGUAAAGGGCUCGUAGGCGGCCAACUAAGUCAGACGUGAAAUCCCUCGGCUUAACCGGGGAACUGCGUCUGAUACUGGAUGGCUAGAGGUUGGGAGAGGGAUGCGGAAUUCCAGGUGUAGCGGUGAAAUGCGUAGAUAUCUGGAGGAACACCGGUGGCGAAGGCAGCGUCCUGGGAAGUGACUGACGCUCAUGUGCGAAAGCUAGGGGAGCGAACGGG